AUGAACGCUGGCGGCGUGCCUAAUCCAUGCCAGUCGAGCGAACAGACGAGGAGCUUGCUCCUCUGACGUUAGCGGCGGACGGGUGAGUAACACGUGGAUAACCUACCUAUAAGACUGGGAUAACUUCGGGAAACCGGAGCUAAUACCGGAUAAUAUAUUGAACCGCAUGGUUCAAUAGUGAAAGACGGUUUUGCUGUCACUUAUAGAUGGAUCCGCGCCGCAUUAGCUAGUUGGUAAGGUAACGGCUUACCAAGGCGACGAUGCGUAGCCGACCUGAGAGGGUGAUCGGCCACACUGGAACUGAGACACGGUCCAGACUCCUACGGGAGGCAGCAGUAGGGAAUCUUCCGCAAAGGGCGAAAGCCUGACGGAGCAACGCCGCGUGAGUGAUGAAGGUCUUCGGAUCGUAAAACUCUGUUAUUAGGGAAGAACAAAUGUGUAAGUAACUAUGCACGUCUUGACGGUACCUAAUCAGAAAGCCACGGCUAACUACGUG
rnacentral:rRNA from 1 species